GCAUAUCAAUAAGCGGAGGAAAAGAAACUAACAAGGAUUCCCCUAGUAACUGCGAGUGAAGCGGGAAAAGCUCAAAUUUAAAAUCUGGUGGUCUCCGGCCAUCCGAGUUGUAAUCUAGAGAAGUGUUACCCGCGUCGGACCGUGUACAAGUCUCCUGGAAUGGAGCGUCAUAGAGGGUGAGAAUCCCGUCUUUGACACGGACUACCGAGGCUUUGUGGUGCGCUCUCAAAGAGUCGAGUUGUUUGGGAAUGCAGCUCAAAAUGGGUGGUAAAUUCCAUCUAAAGCUAAAUAUUGGCGAGAGACCGAUAGCGAACAAGUACCGUGAGGGAAAGAUGAAAAGAACUUUGGAAAGAGAGUUAAACAGUACGUGAAAUUGCUGAAAGGGAAACGCUUGAAGUCAGUCGCGUUGGCCGGAAAUCAGCCUUGCUUUUGCGGGGUGUACUUUCUGGUUGACGGGCCAGCAUCAGUUUUGACCGGUGGAAAAAGUCCAAGGGAAUGUGGCAUCUUCGGAUGUGUUAUAGCCCUUGUUCGUAUACAUCGAUUGGGACUGAGGAACUCAGCACGCCGAAAGGCCGGGUCUUUGACCACGUUCGUGCUUAGGAUGCUGGCAUAAUGGCUUUAAUCGACCCGUCUUGAAACACGGACCAAGGAGUCUAACAUGCCUGCGAGUGUUUGGGUGGAAAACCCGGACGCGCAAUGAAAGUGAAAGUUGAGAUCCUUGUCAUGGGGAGCAUCGACGCCCGGACCAGAAGUUUUCUGACGGCCCUGCGGUAGAGCAUGUAUGUUGGGACCCGAAAGAUGGUGAACUAUGCCUGAAUAGGGUGAAGCCAGAGGAAACUCUGGUGGAGGCUCGUAGCGAUUUCUGACGUGCAAAUCGAUCGUCAAAUUUGGGUAAUAAGGGGCGAAAGACUAAUCGAACCAUCUAGUAGCUGGUUCCUGCCGAA
rnacentral:rRNA from 1 species